GACGAACGCUGGCGGCGUGCCUAAUACAUGCAAGUCGAGCGAGCGGAACUAACAGAUUUACUUCGGUAAUGACGUUAGGAAAGCGAGCGGCGGAUGGGUGAGUAACACGUGGGGAACCUGCCCCAUAGUCUGGGAUACCACUUGGAAACAGGUGCUAAUACCGGAUAAGAAAGCAGAUCGCAUGAUCAGCUUUUAAAAGGCGGCGUAAGCUGUCGCUAUGGGAUGGCCCCGCGGUGCAUUAGCUAGUUGGUAAGGUAAAGGCUUACCAAGGCGAUGAUGCAUAGCCGAGUUGAGAGACUGAACGGCCACAUUGGGACUGAGACACGGCCCAAACUCCUACGGGAGGCAGCAGUAGGGAAUCUUCCACAAUGGACGCAAGUCUGAUGGAGCAACGCCGCGUGAGUGAAGAAGGUUUUCGGAUCGUAAAGCUCUGUUGUUGGUGAAGAAGGAUAGAGGUAGUAACUGGCCUUUAUUUGACGGUAAUCAACCAGAAAGUCACGGCUAACUACGUGCCAGCAGCCGCGGUAAUACGUAGGUGGCAAGCGUUGUCCGGAUUUAUUGGGCGUAAAGCGAGCGCAGGCGGAAGAAUAAGUCUGAUGUGAAAGCCCUCGGCUUAACCGAGGAACUGCAUCGGAAACUGUUUUUCUUGAGUGCAGAAGAGGAGAGUGGAACUCCAUGUGUAGCGGUGGAAUGCGUAGAUAUAUGGAAGAACACCAGUGGCGAAGGCGGCUCUCUGGUCUGCAACUGACGCUGAGGCUCGAAAGCAUGGGUAGCGAACAGGAUUAGAUACCCUGGUAGUCCAUGCCGUAAACGAUGAGUGCUAAGUGUUGGGAGGUUUCCGCCUCUCAGUGCUGCAGCUAACGCAUUAAGCACUCCGCCUGGGGAGUACGACCGCAAGGUUGAAACUCAAAGGAAUUGACGGGGGCCCGCACAAGCGGUGGAGCAUGUGGUUUAAUUCGAAGCAACGCGAAGAACCUUACCAGGUCUUGACAUCUAGUGCCAUUUGUAGAGAUACAAAGUUCCCUUCGGGGACGCUAAGACAGGUGGUGCAUGGCUGUCGUCAGCUCGUGUCGUGAGAUGUUGGGUUAAGUCCCGCAACGGGCGCAACCCUUGUUAUUAGUUGCCAGCAUUAAGUUGGGCACUCUAAUGAGACUGCCGGUGACAAACCGGAGGAAGGUGGGGAUGACGUCAAGUCAUCAUGCCCCUUAUGACCUGGGCUACACACGUGCUACAAUGGGCAGUACAACGAGAAGCGAGCCUGCGAAGGCAAGCGAAUCCCUGAAAGCUGUUCUCAGUUCGGACUGCAGUCUGCAACUCGACUGCACGAAGCUGGAAUCGCUAGUAAUCGCGGAUCAGCACGCCGCGGUGAAUACGUUCCCGGGCCU
rnacentral:rRNA from 1 species